CAUUGAAACAAAUUAAAAAAUUAUGUAAUAUUAAAUAUAACUGAAGUAUAUAUAAGUCUACCUUCUGUUUUCUGAUCUCACACAAAUAUAUGAUUCUGUGAACGUUCUGUCCUACCACGAUUAUAAUACUUUUAACUCUUUCUGUGGUGUAGGCCUACAUUUAAGCGUUUGUACUCUCUGAUCAUCAAAAAGGGAAAAUGGUGCGAACAUCGGCAUUGGUUGCUUUCAUAUUUACUCUUGCCGUAUUGGAGCUAUGCGUAGGAGAAACAGAUCCAUUUCUUAACGAAGAAAAUGAAGGCAGUGAUGAGAGUCUUAAACGUAGAGGUGCAAUUUUGAACGGGCAGCCUGUUAACCGGGCUGUUUACCUAGCCCCGAUGACUACAGAAGAUGAGGCGGGGGCAGAAGUGGAAAAGAGAGAAGAGGGCAAGGACAAGAAAAUGCAUAUCCCUGAUUUGGAAUCCAAGAGAGAUUGCGAGUCGUCAUGUCCUGCAGCGGCACGUAAACUACAGUAAUGUAUAACUUCUGUUUAAUGCCAGAGACAAGAAACCACUUCAUAAUCUACGUGACUGCCCAUCAUGUCCCGCAGGGCCCGUAAACUCGGAUAAUAAUAAUAAUAAUACUAAUUAAAAAUUAUGUCAUUGAUAACAAAGAUAUGUACAAACUUCUUUCUGUUAUAUGCAUUUUAGCGUCAAUCGUAUUUGAGAGUUUCAUGUAUCGUGGACUUAGAUUGCAUUUGUGAGCUGCAUUAAAAAAAUAUUACGAAA